UAGUCCACGCCGUAAACGAUGUCUACUUGGAGGUUGUGGCCUUGAGCCGUGGCUUUCGGAGCUAACGCGUUAAGUAGACCGCCUGGGGAGUACGGUCGCAAGAUUAGAACUCAAAUGAAUUGACGGGGGCCCGCACAAGCGGUGGAGCAUGUGGUUUAAUUCGAUGCAACGCGAAGAACCUUACCUACUCUUGACAUCCAGAGAAGCCAGCGGAGACGCAGGUGUGCCUUCGGGAACUCUGAGACAGGUGCUGCAUGGCUGUCGCCAGCUCGUGUUGUGAAAUGUUGGGUUAAGUCCCGCAACGAGCGCAACCCUUAUCCUUGUUUGCCAGCGAGUAAUGUCGGGAACUCCAGGGAGACUGCCGGUGAUAAACCGGAGGAAGGUGGGGACGACGUCAAGUCAGCAUGCCCCUUAUGUUCUGGGCUACACACGUGCUACAAUGGUUAGGACAAAGAGUCGCCAACUUGCAAAAGUGAGCUAAUCUCGUAAACCUAAUCUCAGUUCGGAUCG
rnacentral:rRNA from 1 species